rnacentral:rRNA from 1 species
UGGGGAAUAUUGGGCAAUGGACGCAAGUCUGACCCAGCGACGCCGCGUGAGGGAUGAAGGCCUUCGGGUUGUAAACCUCUUUCAGUGGGGAAGAAGCGAAAGUGACGGUACCCAAAGAAGAAGCACCGGCUAACUAUGUGCCAGCAGCCGCGGUAAUACAUAGGGUGCAAGCGUUGUCCGGAAUUAUUGGGCGUAAAGAGCUCGUAGGUCGUUUGACACGUCGGAUGUGAAAAUCUGAGGCUUAACCUCAGACCUGCAUUCGAUACGGUCAAACUAGAGUGUGGUAGGGGAGACUGGAAUUCCUGGUGUAGCGGUGGAAUGCGCAGAUAUCAGGAGGAACACCAAUGGCGAAGGCAGGUCUCUGGGCCAUUACUGACACUGAGGAGCGAAAGCGCGGGGA